AGGCUAGAGAAAGAGGGAUGAUCGGGCCUACAAGUUCAGCUGUAGGCCCUUGAGACAGUUGCAAAAAAUUCGUGUAAAUAGCAUUGUUACACGAAUUUUGAGGCCCCCAAUAUGUUAUAAAUAGCAUUGUUACGUGAAUUUUGAGGGCAUAAUAUGUUAUAAAUAUAGUUAUUAUUUUCAAAAUUUUAUCUACAUGAAUAAAAUUUCAUUUUGCU
rnacentral:lncRNA from 1 species